rnacentral:rRNA from 1 species
AUGGCAAAUUUUUGGUGGAGUGGAUCCCUUGACAGAAGGUCUUUGCAUUGGGUGUCAUGGGACAAGCUUGCAUCUCCUAAGGCUCGAGGUGGCAUGGGUUUUCGUGAUCUCGAGCUCUUUAACUUGGCUUUGUUGGGAAAACAUGGAUGGAGGUUCAUAACCAAUCCUAAUUCCUUAUAUGCAAGGGUCAUCAAAGGACGUUAUUUCCCUCAUUGUGACUUCAUGGAGGCCAUAGUACCACACUCCUCUUUAGCUAUUUGGCAAGCAAUAGUGGCCGGAAGAGAAGCUCUACAGUUAGGUUUGAUCAAGAGAGUGGGCGAUGGAAGUACUUUAUCCAUCUGGCAAGACCGGUGGAUUCCGGGUACACCCACGUUAUCCCCUAGGAUUAUGCCGGGGGGAACCACUCUAGAACUCGUCAGUGAGUUAAUUCACACAGAAAACCGGACUUGGCGGGCUCAACUGGUUCGAUUUGUGUUUAUCCGACCUGAUGCAGAUGCAAUACUGAAUAUUCCUCUCCGUAACGGUGGGGGCGAGGAUUUUCUUGCGUGGGCUCAUGAAGGCAAUGGCAUCUACUCUGUAAAAUCUACGUACCGUGCUCUAGUGAAUCGUAACGAGCGUGUCGUUCUAGAUGAAGGGACGAUUACCGAUACUUCAAAGACUGAUGAACAGAUGUGGAAGCUCAAAGUGCUACCAAAGGUACCCGUCUUCUGGUGGAGGGUGGUCCGGGGCAUCCUUCCUGAUGAACGUAUGCUUAAGUACCGGCAUAUACGUCAGAUUAGCAGAUGUAAUGUCUGUUUUGCGAUGGAUGAGGACUUGAUGCACGCGCUAGUGCAUUGCUCUCAUGCCAAAUUGUUCUAG